rfam:Nicotiana attenuata strain TT chromosome 8, whole genome shotgun sequence.
GGGUCGAUGCCCGAGCGGUUAAUGGGGACGGACUGUAAAUUCGUUGGCAAUAUAUCUAUGCUGGUUCAAAUCCAGCUCGGCCAA